rnacentral:rRNA from 1 species
GGGUUGUGAGGUUAAGCGACUAAGCGUACACGGUGGAUGCCCUGGCAGUCAGAGGCGAUGAAGGACGUGCUAAUCUGCGAAAAGCGUCGGUAAGGUGAUAUGAACCGUUAUAACCGGCGAUGUCCGAAUGGGGAAACCCAGUGCAAUUCGUUGCACUAUCGUUAACUGAAUACAUAGGUUAACGAGGCGAACCGGGGGAACUGAAACAUCUAAGUACCUCGAGGAAAAGAAAUCAACCGAGAUUCCCCCAGUAGCGGCGAGCGAACGGGGAGCAGCCCAGAGUCUGAAUCAGCUUGUGUGUUAGUGGAACGGUCUGGAAAGUCCGACGGUACAGGGUGAUAGUCCCGUACACCAAAAUGCACAGGCUGUGAACUCGAAGAGUAGGGCGGGACACGUGGUAUCCUGUCUGAAUAUGGGGGGACCAUCCUCCAAGGCUAAAUACUCCUGACUGACCGAUAGUGAACCAGUACCGUGAGGGAAAGGCGAAAAGAACCCCGAGGGGAGUGAAAAGAACCUGAAACCGUGUACGUACAAGCAGUGGGAGCACCUUCGGGUGUGACUGCGUACCUUUUGUAUAAUGGGUCAGCGACUUAUAUUCUGUAGCAAGGUUAACCGUAUAGGGGAGCCGCAGGGAAACCGAGUCUUAACUGGGCGUUAAGUUGCAGGGUAUAGACCCGAAACCCGGUGAUCUAGCCAUGGGCAGGUUGAAGGUUGGGUAACACUAACUGGAGGACCGAACCGACUAAUGUUGAAAAAUUAGCGGAUGACUUGUGGCUGGGGGGUGAAAGGCCAAUCAAACCGGGAGAUAGCUGGUUCUCCCCGAAAGCUAUUUAGGUAGCGCCUCGUGAAUUCAUCUUCGGGGGUAGAGCACUGUUUCGGCUAGGGGGGUCAUCCCGACUUACCAACCCGAUGCAAACUACGAAUACCGAAGAAUGUUAUCACGGGAGACACACGGCGGGUGCUAACGUCCGUCGUGAAGAGGGAAACAACCCAGACCGCCAGCUAAGGUCCCAAAGUCAUGGUUAAGUGGGAAACGAUGUGGGAAGGCACAGACAGCCAGGAUGUUGGCUUAGAAGCAGCCAUCAUUUAAAGAAAGCGUAAUAGCUCACUGGUCGAGUCGGCCUGCGCGGAAGAUGUAACGGGGCUAAACCAUGCACCGAAGCUGCGGCAGCGACACUAUGUGUUGUUGGGUAGGGGAGCGUUCUGUAAGCCUGCGAAGGUGACCUGUGAGGGUUGCUGGAGGUAUCAGAAGUGCGAAUGCUGACAUAAGUAACGAUAAAGCGGGUGAAAAGCCCGCUCGCCGGAAGACCAAGGGUUCCUGUCCAACGUUAAUCGGGGCAGGGUGAGUCGACCCCCUAAGGCGAGGCCGAAAGGCGUAGUCGAUGGGAAACAGGUUAAUAUUCCUGUACUUGGUGUUACUGCGAAGGGGGGACGGAGAAGGCUAUGUUAGCCGGGCGACGGUUGUCCCGGUUUAAGCAUGUAGGCUGAUUAUCCAGGCAAAUCCGGAUAAUCAAGGCUGAGGUGUGAUGACGAGGCACUACGGUGCUGAAGUAACAAAUGCCCUGCUUCCAGGAAAAGCCUCUAAGCAUCAGGUAACAUCAAAUCGUACCCCAAACCGACACAGGUGGUCAGGUAGAGAAUACCAAGGCGCUUGAGAGAACUCGGGUGAAGGAACUAGGCAAAAUGGUGCCGUAACUUCGGGAGAAGGCACGCUGGUGUGUAGGUGAAGUCCCUGCGGAUGGAGCUGAGACCAGUCGAAGAUACCAGCUGGCUGCAACUGUUUAUUAAAACACAGCACUGUGCAAACACGAAAGUGGACGUAUACGGUGUGACGCCUGCCCGGUGCCGGAAGGUUAAUUGAUGGGGUUAUCCGUAAGGAGAAGCUCUUGAUCGAAGCCCCGGUAAACGGCGGCCGUAACUAUAACGGUCCUAAGGUAGCGAAAUUCCUUGUCGGGUAAGUUCCGACCUGCACGAAUGGCGUAAUGAUGGCCAGGCUGUCUCCACCCGAGACUCAGUGAAAUUGAACUCGCUGUGAAGAUGCAGUGUACCCGCGGCAAGACGGAAAGACCCCGUGAACCUUUACUAUAGCUUGACACUGAACAUUGAGCCUUGAUGUGUAGGAUAGGUGGGAGGCUUUGAAGCGUGGACGCCAGUCUGCGUGGAGCCAACCUUGAAAUACCACCCUUUAAUGUUUGAUGUUCUAACGUUGGCCCCUGACCGGGGUUGCGGACAGUGUCUGGUGGGUAGUUUGACUGGGGCGGUCUCCUCCCAAAGCGUAACGGAGGAGCACGAAGGUUAGCUAAUCUGGUCGGACAUCAGGAGGUUAGUGCAAUGGCAUAAGCUAGCUUGACUGCGAGCGUGACGGCGCGAGCAGGUGCGAAAGCAGGUCAUAGUGAUCCGGUGGUUCUGAAUGGAAGGGCCAUCGCUCAACGGAUAAAAGGUACUCCGGGGAUAACAGGCUGAUACCGCCCAAGAGUUCAUAUCGACGGCGGUGUUUGGCACCUCGAUGUCGGCUCAUCACAUCCUGGGGCUGAAGUAGGUCCCAAGGGUAUGGCUGUUCGCCAUUUAAAGUGGUACGCGAGCUGGGUUUAGAACGUCGUGAGACAGUUCGGUCCCUAUCUGCCGUGGGCGCUGGAGAAUUGAGGGGCUGCUCCUAGUACGAGAGGACCGGAGUGGACGCAUCACUGGUGUUCGGGUUGUCAUGCCAAUGGCACUGCCCGGUAGCUAAAUGCGGAAGAGAUAAGUGCUGAAAGCAUCUAAGCACGAAACUUGCCCCGAGAUGAGUUCUCCUGAGACUUUAAGUCUCCUGAAGGAACGUUGAAGACGACGACGUUGAUAGGCCGGGUGUGUAAGCGCAGCGAUGCGUUGAGCUAACCGGUACUAAUGAACCGUGAGGCUUAACCUUACAACGCCGAAG